CCCUUAGAUGUCCUGGGCCGCACGCGCGUUACACUGAUGCAUUCAACGAGCUUAUAACCUUGGCCGAGAGGCCUGGGCAAUCUUGUUAACGUGCAUCGUGAUAGGGAUAGAUUAUUGAAAUUAUUAAUCUUGAACGAGGAAUUCCUAGUAGACGUAGUUCAUCAGACUGCAUCGAUUACGUCCCUGCCCUUUGUACACACCGCCCGUCGCUCCUACCGAUUGAAUGCUCAGGUGAGCCAUUCGGACUUUCAUCAUGCUGGUUUCCAGUUUUGAUGAAGGAAAGUCUUGCGAACCUUAUCAUUUAGAGGAAGGAGAAGUCGUAACA
rnacentral:rRNA from 1 species